rnacentral:rRNA from 1 species
AUACGAAGGGGGCUAGCGUUGUUCGGAAUCACUGGGCGUAAAGCGCGCGUAGGUGGAUCAAUUAGUUGAGGGUGAAAUCCCGGGGCUCAACCUCGGAACUGCCUUCAAUACUGUUGAUCUUGAGACCGAGAGAGGUGAGUGGAAUUCCUAGUGUAGAGGUGAAAUUCGUAGAUAUUAGGAAGAACACCAGUGGCGAGGGCGGCUCACUGGCUCGGUACUGACGCUGAGGUGCGAAAGCGUGGGGAGCAAACAGGAUUAGAAACCCCAGUAGUCC